AGACCAUGAUGAGGACACUUUCGUUGUAACUCCAGAUAACGCUCCCAAACUUCAUAUAAUAUCUCUCCUUCCUGUUGAGAGAAACUAGUUAUAUCCAUUCUAAGUUU